CCUACGGGAGGCAGCAGUGAGGAAUAUUGGUCAAUGGUCGGGAGACUGAACCAGCCAAGCCGCGUGAGGGAGGAAGGUACAGAGUAUCGUAAACCUCUUUUGUCAGGGAACAAAGACUGGGACGCGUCCCCGGAUGAGUGUACCUGAAGAAACAGCAUCGGCUAACUCCGUGCCAGCAGCCGCGGUAAUACGGGGGAUGCGAGCGUUAUCCGGAUUUAUUGGGUUUAAAGGGUGCGCAGGCGGUCUGUUAAGUCAGCGGUAAAAGCCCGGGGCUCAACCCCGGCCCGCCGUUGAAACUGGCAGUCUCGAGUUGGAGAGAAGUAUGCGGAAGGCGCGGUGUAGCGGUGAAAUGCAGAGAUAUCGCGCAGAACUCCGAUUGCGAAGGCAGCAUGCCGGCUCCACACUGACACUGAGGCACGAAAGCGUGGGUAUCGAACAGGAUUAGAUACCCUAGUAGUC
rnacentral:rRNA from 1 species